CCUACGGGUGGCAGCAGUGGGGAAUAUUGGGCAAUGGGCGCAAGCCUGACCCAGCCACGCCGCGUGAGUGAUGAAGGCCUUCGGGUCGUAAAGCUCUGUGGGGAGGGACGAAACCUGGCGACCUAACACGUCGUUAGCUGACGGUACCUCCUUAGCAAGCACCGGCUAACUCCGUGCCAGCAGCCGCGGUAAUACGGAGGGUGCAAACGUUGCUCGGAAUCAUUGGGCGUAAAGCGCACGUAGGUGGUCCGUUAAGUCGGGAGUGAAAGCCCUCGGCUCAACUGAGGAAGUGCUUUCGAAACUGGCGGACUUGAAUACUGGAGAGGAUCGCGGAAUUCCCGGUGUAGAGGUGAAAUUCGUAGAUAUCGGGAGGAACACCAGCGGCGAAGGCGGCGAUCUGGACAGAUAUUGACACUGAGGUGCGAAAGCGUGGGGAGCAA
rnacentral:rRNA from 1 species